GCCAGUGUGGCAUAGUGGUUUGAGCAUUAGACUACAACUCUGAAGACAAGGGUUUAAAUCCCCACUCAACCA